UGGUGGAGUGAUUUGUCUGGUUAAUUCCGUUAACGAACGAGACCGCUGCCUGCUAAAUAGUUGGAUGAGUGUUUUGACACUGAUUGCAGCUUCUUAGAGGGACAUGGAUUAUUAAAAUCCAGGAAGAUAGCGGCAAUAACC
rnacentral:rRNA from 1 species